GAGAGUGGGUUGGGGGUCGCUGUCCCUUCUGGGAAUCGAUCGAGCGCCGCAGGAGCGGGACGUUAGGUCAGCGGAGACCUCGGCAUGGGAUUAGGCCGGGAGUGGCCACAGCUUCGUUCAUUGGGCAGCUACCCGGGGCCGGCCACGCUCCGUGAGCCACUGUGACGAAGCCCCUUCUUGUCUCCCCAGAGCUCAGCCCGGGCCGCUGCACCUCCCUCCAAAUGUGGAUAAAGUUCCCACCCUUUGGCUCAGCCUUUUAAGGAGCCUUUGUGGCAGCAGAGGUGGUUUGCUCUGACACUAACCAAACUUCACUUUCUGAACGCCCACUUACCCAGGCCCAGUCUAUGGCCAUGGAAGGGAUCUUAGCAACGUGUUUACAAGAUGUUUUUAUAAAAUUAGCAAAACUAACAUAUUUUAACCCACAUCUGUUAAGACAGCUGCCUCUUUCCACUGGGACUUUCCUAUCUGGGAGCACUGAAGUAGCCAGGGCAUCUUGGGGCAUUUUUAAGUAGGGUCUUCCUGUGAGUAGGGCUUGAGUGUGUCUACUUGGCCUGCCUUUGGGUUCUGGGUUGUACAGAGUUUAGAGUUCAGAGUUAUCUUUACUGAGAGGCCCAGUAAAGAUAAAAGGGAAAAAGCUGUGUUUCUGAAGUGUCUCCAAAUCUCGGAUGGUGGCAGCCUCCUCAUCCACCCCUGCCAGCGAUGAAAGAAGGCCAGGAUCUGGUGAGAGAGAACCAUCAGAAGAACUGCAGCCAUGGGUCCUCCCUCUGUGUCAGGGUACUGUUUUAGGCACUGAGGACAUAGCAGAGAACAGAACAGGCUCAAGGAGAAGAGGAAAGUUCAGAAACAUAAAAAGAAAUAAAGAAAUAUUCAGAAGCAUCUGAAUUUUUGACCCUCUGAUCAACACCACCAGAAAAGGAAAAAGAGAAGUACUAUUACAUUUGCUACUGGUACUACAAAACUGUGCCCUUACCUAAUUUCAUUUCAGCAAGCCUUUACUGUGAACUAUUAAUGUGCCAGGCACCAUGUGCGGAGGCGCUGGCCCGAAGAUGAAGAUGAGGUUUCUCUCCUUGGGAAGCGCAGUGUGGGAGACAGACAGAAUAUUUUCUCAAACCUUUUGAAGAGAAAAACGGACCCUACAUGGAGCCUCUGGAGCUUUGGAGAGACAGCUGUGUGUGGGAUGAGUAGCCAGAGAGCGCCCUCUGAAAGGUGCGGUCGGAAUAGGGGGCCAGCAUGGUGCCAGCACAUAGCAGGUACACAGAGAGUCACCAAAUUAAUGAGGCCUACAGUGGGCCAGAGAAGGGGACCAGUGCCUUAUACGCUGUCAGGUCUUUGUAGCCUCAGGAAUCGAAUCAGACAACCCCCCAGGAACAGUCUGAGUAGCAAUAGCUGCCAGCACGAUUGCCCAGAAGGAAGGACAGCUCUAAAUUCGGGUCUCAAAAGCCAAACAAAAAGAAAUGAUAGUACAACCCUGUCCCUUUAAUGAAGAAUGUUCUAAUGAGAAAAACAAAAACAAAAACAUGCUAAUGGUACAGGUCAAAUAAACUGUUCCUGCUCUGUAAAAAUAAUGACGACAGUAUAAUUUUGUAAUAACUCACAUUUUUGGAACACCAAGUACCAU